CCCGAACGUUCAAACGGCGAACCAGUUGGAGUUUGGCGUACGGUCCGCUAGGGUUUCCCCGUCACCUCCCUCGCUUCCGCAGGGAAAAUGGCACGGGUAUAUGUUGGUAACCUGGAUUCUCGUGUUACAGAACGGGAUCUUGAGGAUGAGUUUCGCACAUUUGGAAUUAUAAGAAGUGUGUGGGUCGCCCGAAGACCACCGGGAUAUGCUUUUAUUGAUUUUGAUGACCAUAGGGAUGCACAAGAUGCGAUCCGUGAGCUAGAUGGUAAAAAUGGCUGGAGAGUUGAGCUCUCUCAUAACUCUAGUGGUGGACGUGGUGGUCGUGGUGGUCGAUCUGGUGGUUCUGAUUUGAAGUGCUAUGAAUGUGGUGAGCCUGGACACUUUGCUCGGGAGUGCCGCCUGCGUGUGGGUUCACGACGACGUCGAAGUCGCAGCCGCAGCCGCAGCCGCAGCCGCAGUCGCAGUCCAAGAUACCGCAGGAGCCCAAGCUAUGGUCGAAGGAGCUACAGCCCACGUGGUCGAUCUCCAAGACGUCGCAGUCUCUCUCCUCGUGGUCGCAGCUAUAGCAGGUCGCCCCCAUUCCGCGCCCGUGACGAAGUGCCAUAUGCUAAUGGCAAUGGUCGUGAUCGUCGCCGAAGCAGGAGCUGAAUGGUGCAGAGCUAAAAAAUGUGGUUUUGUCUGGAUCGUAUCUGGAUUAAGUGUGUUUAGUAGUUUGGACUUGGUACAACUUUGUUUUAGUCGGGCCUCGCCCUCAGCCCCACCUCUUCGAUUUGGAUAAGUUCUCAUUACUGAGUUUGCUUCAUUGGUUUUAUGCUCCUGCACGUCCACGGGAUUUCGAUCUACGCCGCGCUUUGUGCUUCUGCACUUCAGCGGGACUCGAUUCUUCGCUGCCUCGUCAUGGGAUCUUCAAUUUUGAAUGAUUGUGGGUCCCAGUCGGCUUCGUCUAUAGAUGCUUCCCUUUUGUCUUUCUCCAGAUUGAUUCGUGCUUCUCAAAUUCUAUUGGCACAUAAUAUAGUUAACUAGAAGGUUUGAGGAGCUGCAUCAAACACUUCUAUCAGGUAAUUAUAUUUGUUUUACCAAAGCAUGGAAUAGUGGUUUCAUUUUUCAGGUAAUGGGGUUUCACUUCAUAUUGAAAAGAAAGCAAUUAAAUGUUUUCCAUAGCUGUCAGAAUUGGAGUAUGAUCUUUUCUAGAUAGUUUUUGUUUUUGGUUACAACACGGCUGUCUUUGAUUCUAAUUUCAUAAUGUUUCUUUAACUAAAUUGUGAUUUUCUUCCAAAAUUGAACACUCGCUGCUUUGUCAUCAACACGAGACCCGUGGGCCCAACUACAGAAUGAUCUCCGCUUCGUCGAGUGGCUCCCUAAUUGAUUGAGACUCGUCUACAUGAUAGUCAUUUCAAUUUCUUCGGCAUCGUCUUCGUACAAAGCAUACAUUUGAUGCCUAUGCUGCUGAGAGCUGCUAUCUGUGUCGCCAUAUUCUAAGAUCUCCGCUUCGUCGAGUGGCUUCCUAAUUGAUUGAGAUUCAUCUACAUGAUAGUCAUUUCAAUUUCUUCGGCAUCGUCUUUGUACAAAGCAUACAUUUGAUGCCUAUGCUGCUGAGAGCUGCUAUGUCUCGCUACGUUCUCUUUAGGCAAGUUAGCUUAACAAGCUCUGCCGCAUCAAGUUUAGAUGGACUAUUUGUUUUGGGUUCCCUCAAAGCAUAACCAUUGAUAUGGGCCUCACAUUGUGUUGAGUCGCUGUAUAUUCAUCCUAGGAAGAUUGAACCGACUUCUUUCUCCUUGGUGGUGAAAGCAUACUUUGAGAGUUUGCCUUGAGGGAUUUUUGUCAUUGUUGGUUUGCAUUUUUUUUUCAGUGUAAUCUUUCCUGAAUGGCUUGACCUUGAACUUACGUGAAGUUGGAAUGAUCACCUCUAUAUUUGCUUAAUUAA